GACGAACGCUGGCGGCGUGCUUAACACAUGCAAGUCGAACGGAAAGGCCUGCUUUUCCUUGUGGAUUGCGGUUACUCGAGUGGCGAACGGGCGAGUAAUACGUGAGCGAUCCGCCCCCAACUUGGGUAUAAGCCUGGGAAACUGGGUCUAAUUCCCGAUAGGACUGCAGUGUGGUGCCUGUGGUGGAAAACGAUUUUCUAGUGGUUGGGGAUGAGCUCGCGGCCUAUCAGCUUGUUGGUGUGGUAAUGGCUUACCAAGGCUGAGACGGGUAGCCGGCCUGUGGGAGUGGCCGUGCAGGUUGGGACUGCGACCCGGCCCAGACUGCUGCGGGAGGUAGCAGUGGGGAGUGUGGAGCAAGGCGCGGAUGACUGAUGCAGCAACGCUGAUGAAGGGACGGCGGCCUUCGGGUUGUAAACUGCUUGCGAGCGCGCGGGAGCCACUGGGUUGGAGGGUUGGUGACGGUACUGGUAAAAGAAGCACCGGCUAACUACGUG
rnacentral:rRNA from 1 species